AUUGAACGCUGGCGGCAGGCCUAACACAUGCAAGUCGAACGAGUGGCGGACGGGUGAGUAAUGUCUGGGAAACUGCCCGAUGGAGGGGGAUAACUACUGGAAACGGUUGCUAAUACCGCAUACCAUCGGAUGUGCCCAGAUGGGAUUAGCUUGUGGGUGAGGUAACGGCUCACCUAGGCGACGAUCCCUAGCUGGUCUGAGAGGAUGAUCAGCAACACUGGAACUGAGACACGGUCCAGACUCCUACGGGAGGCAGCAGUGGGGAAUAUUGGGCAAUGGGCGAAAGCCUGAUGGAGCGAUGCCGCGUGUGUGAAGAAGGUCGUCGGGUUGUAAAGUUCUGUCGGUGGGGAGGCGGUACCCGAAGAAGAAGCACCGGCUAACUCCGUGCCAGCAGCCGCGGUAAUAC
rnacentral:rRNA from 1 species